ACGUUCUUUUCUUUGUUGCCGUUGGGGUGCUGGACUUUGCACACCACGUGUUCGUCUGUGCCCUGCAUGACGUCCUUGGAAGGCAGCAGCACCUGUGAGGUGGCUGCGUACUUGCCCCCUCUCAGGACUGAUGGGAAGCCCCGGGUGCUGCUGAUGUCAGAGUUGUUCUUGUAUUUCCAGGAGAAAGUGAUGGAGUCGGGAAGGAAGUCCUGUGCGAGGCAGCCAACGGCCACGCUGCUCGUAUCCGACGGGGAAUUCUCACAGGAGACGAGGGGGAAAAGGGUUGGGGCGGAUGCACUCCUGAGGAGACGGUGACCAGGGUUCCCUGGCCCCAGUAGUCAAAGUAGCUCCCCUCACUGUGUCUCUCGCACAGUAAUACACGGCCGUGUCCUCGGCUCUCAGGCUGUUCAUUUGAAGAUACAGCGUGUUCUUGGAAUUGUCUCUGGAGAUGGUGAAUCGGCCCUUCACGGAGUCUGCGUAGUAUGUGCUACCACCGCUAUAAAUAACUGAGACCCACUCCAGCCCCUUCCCUGGAGCCUGGCGGACCCAGCUCAUGUAGUUGCUACUGACGGUGAACCCAGAGGCUGCACAGGAGAGUCUCAGGGACCCCCCAGGCUGGAUCAAGCCUCCUCCAGUCUCCACCAGCUGCACCUCAC
rnacentral:lncRNA from 1 species